rnacentral:lncRNA from 1 species
GGAGGGCCGGCGCCACCUCCGACCCGGGAGAUCCAAUGAUACUCAAAUUAUCUGUGGGAAAUAAGAAUGCUGUAUGGAGCACCUGGCAAGAACCUACAGGAGAAUCGCAGUACAAACUUCAAGGAUUUUGGAGAAAAGCCAUACCUUUAUUUGGCAGGUUCUGAAGUUCCCGUAUCCUAGAGCCACCUAGCUGAGCGAUUCUGGCCCAGGGUCUCGGCAGUCAAGCUGUCUCCCAGCUCUGCAGUCAUCUCAUCUGGCUUGACCAGGACUGAAGGGUCAGCUUUCGAGCUCACUCAAGUGUGAUGAGCAGGCCUCAAUCGCCUCAGACGACCAUCUAGUAUCGCCAUCCUUAACAUAAAGGAGGCUACGUUUGUAUCAUCACAAUUGCGCGAUUGAACUAUAGGGGAAGAGAAAUGUCUUUUGGUUUCUGAAUGUUUCCUCUUGAUGUUUCUAUUGCCCUUAAAAGAAAUUUCAGUGAUGGUCCGGAUGACUGGAGGCCACAAUGAGUUAUUGAAUUCAACCCCUCUGAGAGGCUCUGGGCUUUCCUGUGAUGGUGACAAGAUUGUCCAUGCUGGUCCGAGCAUCCUGUCUUUGCACAUCAGUGACCCGGGCCGUCAAGAAGAAGGGCAUGGCUUCCCCGCAGUGAGUUCUGUGUCAGUGCAGAGGUUCUCUUCAGGGUGAAGAGCCAAGGCUGUUCCUCUGGGAGGAUCAGCCCACGGUCCACAUCAAUUAAGUGAAAGAGCCUACAGAUUAGUUACCUGCUUAAAUGUGUGUACCAAGUCAACUUAUCUACUUGGCAGUUAUCUCUUCUUUAUAAAAUAGGACACAAGAGAAAACAUUUGACUUGUGUUUGGUCAGAUUUCCAAUAAAUAGAUAAUUUUAACCCAGAAUAUUUUGAAUAAUCUCAUUAACAUACCUCUGCAGUUGACUUCUCUGGAUUCAAUCUGAAUAUUACUAGCAAUCGACUGUGACUACACUGGGCCAAACUUCAGAGUCUGGAAUCAUAAAGACCUAAGUUACAGGUAAUGGAGAUGACACCAGUGUCUGGGGCAGUUCAGUAGCAGCAUGAGCAUCAGCCUGAAUGGUGCUCCGAAUACCUAAGUGGGAAACAGAAGGAGAUAGAAGAGUGGACCAUGCAGAGUAUGGAGCAACUCCGAGUGGAGCUGGCCUGGGUCUUGAUGAUUCUAUGGCUCAUCGGGUAUAUAAUCAAUGCCCUGCAGAUUCUGCUAGAAGAGAGCCUUCUGGAAUAGGACUGAAGUUCUGCAUUAUGAAGUCUUUUUCAGGUGUGACUUGGACCUGGAUCUUCCAUAUAAAUUUCAGAGUUACAAAAACCUAAAACAAAAUGAGCAAAGCAGUUGGUAUACUGAUGAUUGGAAUUGCACGGAUUCUAUGUAUCAGUUUCGGGAAAUCUGACGUACUGUGCCCUUCCACUUCAAGUUGGUCAAGAGUUUUAUCAGACUUUUGCCUGAGCACACUUUCUACAUUUGAAAUUUCAUAAAAGCACUGGAAAUUCUUGAAAAAAUCUGGACUCUUUAUUACAAUGUUUGACAAAUAUGUAUCUUUCUAAUAAUUAAUGUGUUCUGAUGUUCUGUAAUUGUUUUAUCAUUUGUCAGUGUAGUCUAUCACAAAUUAAGUGAUGUAUUAAAGGCUAUCUUUACGGCCUUGUGUUUGUUAAUAAAGGUAUAUAUUUCUAACAAUUCUUGCAUUUUACAUUUGAAACUAUGUUGUGGGGUACCUAAGCUUCCUUAAAUUUACUAUUUAUGUACCCUAUUUGCCUCAUACGAUACUCAUGCCUUGACCUUUGCUUUGGGGCGUGGAGGGCAAGGUGGUCAGCAAGCAGUUAAAGUAACAAUCUGGAAUUCAGGGACAGGGCUGCAGCAGAGAUUAGAAGUGGACGUCAUACACAUGAAAAUGGGAGGUGAAGCUUUGAGAGUGAGUGGAAAUAGGGGAAGAAUAGAAGGGGACAAAGGAAUCAAGGUACAUUAUUUUAGAAACCAGUUUUUAAAGGACUAGCAAGGGAGACUCUCAUCAAGCAAGCAGAGGAGAAGCAGAAUAGGGUUUGGCAGAGAAGGGACGCCCAGAGAGACUCUGUCAAGAAGGUGCAGUUGGCAAGAGCAUCAAAGCCUUCAUCAUGGACAAGGACAGUGACAUCCACUUCCUGCCUGUUUAUUCAAACAUACACACUAGAGUGUAAGAUUGAGGGCAAGAAUAUUUUUAGAUGUUUUCUUCACUGGAGAAUCUCCAGAUCAUAAACAUUGCCUGGCACAGAGUGGAUAGUGAUAAGAUUUGUUGAAUGAAUUAAAAAUAUAAUCUUGUUGAUCAUUAAAAUGAAACAAUUAGCAAAUCCUAUAUGAUUUCAAGAGAGGUGAACUCUGAUAUUCAAAUAUGAUUCUAGAUCCCAUUAUACUAUAUUGUAACUUAUAGGGUUAAGAAAGAUAUGCCACAAAGGAGAGCAGUUCAAAACGCUUGGGUUAUAAAACAGUUUACUUGGGCCUACUGCAUAAAAGUAUCAAAUGUUCACGUUGUAACAUUUUUUUCCUUAAUCUCCCCUAUUUUCAUAGAGAUACACACAUUUAUUAAUAACUCUUAGUUUAUCUGUCCUAAUGGUAAUAGCACAUCAGAAUAAAA